CGCCCGGGGAGCAGUGCUUGAGGACGAUGCCAUGCUCAGUGCAUCUCAGUAUGUUCAUUAGUCUAAUGCAUAAAGCUUAAACCUAGCUAAUGAUUGUCACAUGAUAAAUUCAGUCACAUUAAAACAUUAAUAGAUAUAUACGCAGUAGGACAUGCUAAUGCUAAUGUCACCUAGGACUAGAUAUCAGAUCAGAAUCAGAAUCUCCUUAUUGUCAUAUGCACCAGGGAAGGUGAUACGAAAUUUAGUUUCGUACGACCCGUUCCAAGAAAAAACAUGAAUAGACAAUAAAAACAAUACAAAUAAUUGACAAGGCGGGACAGGAACAGGAAGGCCAGGACGCAGCCCGUGGGCAGCGCGCCCUUAUAUUAGAUGAAAAACAACUGAAAAACGAUAGGGAAGGAGGAGGAGGGAAAAAAAGACAACUCCAAACUAGGCCCCGUGGGGAGGGGGGGCACAGUGUGGGAUUUAAAAAAAAAAACCUCUCAGCACAAAGCACAAUCAAAGACAUUAUAACAGCACGAGAACAUCUGCACAUGGGGGAGUGGGCGGGGGGUUACAGCACGAUCGAGUCUGGGCGGGCUGCUGCAGGACCUGCGCUGCUCUCGACCUUCACCGACCGCGUCGCAACAGGGGAGGGAGGGAGGCUGUAAGGGGCCAAAGAAGGGGUUGAAUCCGGGGUAAGGGCGAGUGUCCCAGAGAGGGGGGGGGGGGUAGGUCGGAGCGUCUUGUCUGCAGAAACAUCCAGGAGAGUAGAGAGAGAAGGCCUUGAGAAGGCCGGUUAUGUGUGCGAGCCAAUGAAGAUAGUAGAUUGUUUUGGGACAGGGCGACGCUGGAAUCUUCUGUCUGCCCUUGAGUGUCUCUUGAAUGUCUCUGAGUCUCCCGGUGGCUUGCUUCAAUAUAAAGGAAUAAUAACAGGAAAUAAAACAGCUAAACCUGAGCACAAAAAAUGGUUAACUAUGGUGAAAUGUUAGCUUUGGUUGAGGAAGUAUAUCUAAAAGUUUGCUUAGGUUUUGGCAGUUUCAAAGUUAAAAAUUUAAACUACACUUGGUCUGAUUUUGUUUUUUUGUUUUUUUUUUGGUUUAUUCUCUCCACUGUCGUUGAAGUAUUUCUGAUUCUGAUUUUAGUACAGCACUAGCUGUAAGUUAGCUAGUGGUAAGGUGUCAUUGAGUAGAUGGUGACAAAUCAGCAUAAAGUUUGCAAAUCGUAAAUGGACCAUCCCUCGAUAAAUAUAGGGGAAGAUAGCUAAAAGUUAGCUGAAAGAGUAGAUAAUGGUAACCAAACUGAGACAUGUGUUAAUGACGAGUGUAUUAAAGGUCGGUGUAUGUUUUUCUGACUUGGAUGCAGUCAUGUGAAGAGGAGAAUCAGACAGAAAUAAUGACCGAGAGAGUAAUCCUUGACCGGCGGUGUCUUUAUUGGACAGACUGGACAUUGUCCACACUGUCCAUCUGGACUAGAUCAGUUUGUCACAGAGCUGAUGUUAAACAGACAGGAAGAUGUCUGUUUAACAGAAUGUACAGAAUGUUCACAGUAAAGCAGGUGUGAACACAGUCGGAUUAUUUUUUUGUAAAGCAAAUGUUGAAUUGAAAAAAAACAAAAGUAAAUACCUGAGAGAGGAGAUGAAGAAGUACUGGUUCAACAAAGUCUGCAGUUCUUCACUGAUCCACUCUGUCCACCCAUGUGUACGUGCAAUAUAAAGGUGUGUGUGUGUGUGUCUCAGUCACACCUACUUUUUCCUGGCUGUUUGUCAGGUCAGUGCAGCACGACUGGUUAAAGCAGUGGAAACACCACACAUUUACUCUCAACUUUACUCCAACAAGCGCAAAACUGUCAUGUGACUUUUCUGUGUUUGAUGUCAAACAGAGAUUAUCAGGAGAAUCAUAGAGGAAAUACUGUGUUUACAGUAGGACUCGGAACGAUAGAGAGUAUAAACAGCUGCAUUUGAUUUGUUAUGAAAUUUAAAUUGAACAAGUAUUGUUCACAGCGCCAGUGUGAUAACAUUAGUGACCCCUAGUGGUGGGACUACAGACCUGAGGACUCCUCUGCUCGUCCCUCCUUUUCCCUAGAUCACAGGUGAAUGUUGUGCAGCUGUGGAAGAUUCCAGAAACACAACAACACGAUAUGGCUGCAGCUGAUGGGAAACUCAGUCAAAGGUAGUACUGUAUGGUUUGAGUAUUUCAACAUUUUGUAAUUAUAGAAAGCAAAUCAGGGUUGCAGCUAGGAUUACUUUAAGCAAAUGUCUACGGGUCACAUGACACGUGUGUUGAGUCAUUCAGGUGGAGCAGGCAGGAUUAUUGACAGUACUGACCAACAAUUUCACAAUAGUAAAAACAUCUUCUUUGUUCCCAACCUUUCAACCAUCUGUAGCAAAACAAUGAUGGUCACCAUAGGUGGAUACAACUGCACUGAGUGCUACAAGUAUUUUGACAUAUUUUAGUUAUUUUUUCAAUGUGUGAGGCCAAUGUCUUUCUGAGAUUGAGUGUCUGUGAAAUGUAUUUUUAGCUAACUGCUCAUACAUAUUUCUAUAUUUCUAAUAUUCUAACUUAUUUCAUUGAGAAAUUGUAUACACACAUAUAUGUGCAUAUACAGUAUAUAUACAUACAUAUAUACUGUAUAAAUGUAUAUAUAACGUUUUAUUGGCAAAAGUGGUGCUUUUUAACAGAAUAGAACAAUAAUAUAUAAAACAUAUAGUAUGUAUAUAUGUUUAUAUUUAUACAUAUAUAUAUAUACAUAUAUAUAUAG